rnacentral:rRNA from 1 species
GUCAGAGGCGAUGAAGGACGUGCUAAUCUGCGAAAAGCGCCGGCGAGGUGAUAUGAACCUUUGACCCGGCGAUGUCCGAAUGGGGAAACCCAGUGUGAUUCGUCACACUAUCGUUAACUGAAUACAUAGGUUAACGAGGCGAACCGGGGGAACUGAAACAUCUAAGUACCCCGAGGAAAAGAAAUCAACCGAGAUUCCCC